rnacentral:rRNA from 1 species
AACGAACGCUGGCGGCAGGCCUAACACAUGCAAGUCGAACGAGAUCUUCGGGGUGAGCGGCGGACGGGUUAGUAACGCGUGGGAACGUGCCCAGAUCUAAGGAAUAGCCACUGGAAACGGUGAGUAAUACCUUAUACGCCCUUCGGGAAAGAUUUAUCGGAUUUGGAUCGGCCCGCGUUAGAUUAGAUAGUUGGUGGGGUAAUGGCCUACCAAGUCUACGAUCUAUAGCUGGUUUUAGAGGAUGAUCAGCAACACUGGGACUGAGACACGGCCCAGACUCCUACGGGAGGCAGCAGUGGGGAAUCUUGGACAAUGGGCGCAAGCCUGAUCCAGCCAUGCCGCGUGAGUGAUGAAGGCCUUAGGGUCGUAAAGCUCUUUCGCCAGAGAUGAUAAUGACAGUAUCUGGUAAAGAAACCCGGCU